rnacentral:rRNA from 1 species
GAUGAACGCUGGCGGCGUGCCUAAUACAUGCAAGUCGAGCGAACAGACGAGGAGCUUGCUCCUCUGACGUUAGCGGCGGACGGGUGAGUAACACGUGGAUAACCUGCCUAUAAGACUGGGAUAACUUUGGGAAACCGUAGCUAAUACCGGAUAAUAUAUUGAAUCGCAUGGUUCAAUAGUAAAAGACGGUUUUGCUGUCCCUCAUAGUGGAAUUCGCGUCUCAUUAGCUAGUUGUUAAGGUAACGGCCUACCAAGGCAAGGUUGCGUAGCCGACCUGAGAGGGUGAUCGGCAAACCGGGAACGGGACCACGGUCCAGACUCCUACGGGAGGCAGCAGAAGGGAAGCUUCCGCAAUGGGCGAAAGCCGGACGGAGCACCGCCGCGUGAGUGAGGAAGGUCUUCGGAUCGUAAGACUCUGUUAUUAGGGAAGAACAAAUGUGUAAGUAACUAUGCACGUCUUGACGGUACCUUAUCAGAAAGCCACGGCUAACUACGUG